CAAAGUGGAGCGCUGGAAGCCUUCCAUCCUUUCAUUUUGAAAAUUGUUCGUUAACCGACUCAAUAAUAGACCCGCAGAAUUUUGAUACACUGCCAGGAUCUACAAACAUUAUUGCAAAAGGACAGCGAUGGAAAAGCUAUUUUAAUGGUGUACCGUAAAACAGGAUAUUUAACAUCACGCCUUCGAAAUCUCUUGGUUCAAAAAAUAAUUAAAUGCAAACAAGACGAAGCCUUUGAAGAUAUUUCGAUUGGUGAAGUACUUCCUGAGUUCAGAAUUACAACAGAUGAAUUUAAAAGCUGGGCAAAAGAAAUCCACGAAGUUUUUCCUACUGAAUCCAUAGCA